rnacentral:rRNA from 1 species
GACAAACGCUGGCGGAAUGUAUUAGGCAUGCAAGUCGUACGAACCUUCGGGUUAGUGGCGAACGGGUGAGUAACACGUGGGUAACCUGCCUCGUAGUGGGGAAUAACUCGCCGAAAGGCGAGCUAAUACCGCAUAACACCCCCGGUGAGAUUCCGGGUGGUAAAAGCUCCGGCGCUACGAGAGGGGCCCGCGGCCGAUUAGCUAGUUGGUGGGGUAACAGCCUACCAAGGCGACGAUCGGUAGCUGGUCUGAGAGGAUGGUCAGCCACACGGGGACUGAGAUACCGGCCCCGACUCCUACGGGAGG